ensembl:lncRNA
AAAACAAACACAAGUUUAAUGACAGGUAUAUCUCCCAUACACAUGGGAGAGACCCAGGAAAACUGGGGAACUCCUUGAAAUGGCCCAAACCACCACCUUAAAAACCAUCCCCGGCUAAAGACAAAGGAGGAAGGGGGGCAGCGCAGUGACAGGCAGUGACCAGGAAAAGCCCAGCGACAGAGGACAAGGCUGUCAUGCAGACAGCAGACCGCCUGCUCCACUGAUCAGUUUCUGGAGGUUAAGAGUCACCCUCCUCAUCCUGGGAGAGGGGGACGCCCUGACACGUGGAGAUUUCCCUCAUAAAUGGAAAUUUCCCUCACAAAAGGGCAAGUGCUACUGAGAGCUUCUGUGUCUGUUUGUUAAAAAUAAUCAGGCUAAAAUAAUCCUUAUGCCAAAGAAGCAGAUUUUGGGCUGACAGAUUCUGCUCCCCCUUGGCCCCAAGAAAGCCCGGGACCCCUUAGCGCUGCUUCUUUCCUGCCCCCUCCCCCUCCCUCUGCGAGGCUUUCAGGGGCCCCCUGCGGCUGAGAACUUGGCUCUUCCCACUUCGAGGGGCCCACACUGUGUUCAUGGUUCCAGGUUCUCUCUCCCUUUUUUUUUUUUUUUUUACAGAUUAUUUAUUUAUUUUUAUUUAUUUGUGGAGGUUUUCGAGGAAGAUCAGCCCUGAGCUAACAUCUGCCACCAACCCUCCUCUUUUUGCUGAGGAAGACUGGCCCUGAGCUAACAUCUGUGCCCAUCUUCCUCUACUUUACAUGUGGGCCGCCUGCCACAGCAUGGCUUGAUGAAUGGUUCCUGCUUUGCUAAUCGAGAUGAGAGGAAGACUGCAGCCAGCAGUCAGACCACCAGACCACGUCUGUAGACUGCAUCGGUCACUGUGGCUGUGGGAUUAGGACUGACACCAAACCCCAGUGGUUUCAGCCCGUGUGGUCCUCUCCUGCCCGACCCUUCCGAGCACUGGCCCCAGACCUCCGUGGUCCACGCGUCCGCAGCCCGCAGGCUGUCACGGGAUGAAAUACAUGUCAGCUUCCCUGGCCCUCGGACCUUGGUGUUUCCUUCCGGCUUGACGGUUUGGAGGACACCUCCUGAUGGGGGAGGGCAGAGCAGGAGAUCCAGGAACAACCCAGCAGCCCCAGCCAGGGCUCAGGCCUGCAGAGACCUGCCUGCCCCGCCAGUCCCUGCAGGGGACCCAGGUCUGUGGGACUAGGGGCCAUGCCAGCAGGCCAGCCAUGAGUGGGGUCGCUCUGCCAUCCAGUGUCCUGAUGACGGCUCUGUGACAUGCAGAGUGGCUUCCCUCCUCUCUCACAGGGCCCCUGAUUGUCACCUUGGUAGCUUCUUCCCAAGUGCCCUCAGCUGCAGUCAGCGUUAGAAGGGCCUGACUGUGGCUGUUGAGCACACAUUGUAUAUCUGCUUGGACAUUUCCUAUGGCCAGAACAAAGGCCCUUGAGAUAAAGGUCCUCCCCCUCCGACAUUGGCAUUUCCUUAGGGAUAAGCAUCUUUCAUUAGGCUACGAAGUGAUUGCUGCACUCACCUUUGACCACCCAGCUCACCUGUGACCACCCAGCUGGAGACAACAGACUGCCACCCUGCGGGGUUCACUGAGACAGAAGACCUGCCUGCUGUUUCCAUCAAUCGCUGUGCUGACAGAGCAGUCUCGCGACGAUUGUAAAAGGGACAUUUCAAUCCUAUGUGAAACAUCCUCUUUGGGGGUAUAUAACCACUCUGUGCACCCCACUUCUUUGGUGCCCUUUCUUCCUUCGGGAAGAAAGGCCCCAGGUUAUAAUCCUCAAAUUUAAGCUCAGAAUAAACUCACCCAAAUUUUCAUUUAUAGAUUGGUUAUGGAUUAUUUUCGUCGACAUUGGUGAGCCAGGAGCCUGGUGGAGAUUGGAGGAGGAGAGAGCAGUGGGAUUUGACCCGCCACCACCUCCUGCAGGGUCCCCUGGGACAGUCCCUGUCCCCCCACUUCCCAUCGCUUCUCUGGGGCAGUGUCCCCAUGGCCCUCUCACCCCCUUUGCAGCCUGGGCGGUAGGUCGCUCGUGACCCUGCAGCCAGCCCUGGAGGCACUGUGCGUGUCUCUGGUUUCCCGGGGUCCUGCCUACCCCUCUCCAAAUGGUGCUCAGAGGCCACUCUCUCCUGGUUUUCUGACUUGGGUGGUCAUCUGUUUCUGUUGGGAGCCUGAUUGAGACACUGCCUCUGCCUGACUCUCGAGGUGGGGGAGGGACUCCAUCA